rnacentral:rRNA from 1 species
GGUUUUUAUAUUUUAUUAAAAAUUUAACCUGCCAAUUGAAUUAAAUUUAAAAGGCCGCAGUAUUUUGACUGUGCUAAGGUAGCAUAAUCAUUAGAUUUAUAAUUGAAAUCUAGAAUGAAUGGUUUAAUGAAACAAAAUCUUUUUUAAUUUAAAUAAUUGAAUUUUUUUUUUUAGUUAAAAAACUAAAAUAUUUUUAUGGGACGAGAAGACCCUAUAGAAUUUUAUAUUUAUUAAAUUAAAUAAUAAUUUAUAAAUUAAUUAUAAUAUUUUACAAUAUUUUAUUGGGGUGAUAAAUAAAUUUAGUUAACUUUAAUUUUUUUAUCAAUAAUUUUUGUUAAAUUGAUCUUUUUUUAUUGAUUAAAAAUUUAAAUUACCUUAGGGAUAACAGCAUAAUUUUAUUAAGAAGUUCUUAUUUUUAAUAUUGUUUAUGACCUCGAUGUUGAAUUAAAUAAAAUUAUUAUAUGAAGAUAUAUAAAAAAUAAGUCUGUUCGACUUUUAAUUAUUUACAUGAUUUGAGUUCAAACCGGUGUAAG